rnacentral:rRNA from 1 species
UACGUAGGUGGCAAGCGUUGUCCGGAAUUAUUGGGCGUAAAGCGCGCGCAGGCGGUCCUUUAAGUCUGAUGUGAAAGCCCACGGCUUAACCGUGGAAGGUCAUUGGAAACUGGGAGACUUGAGUGCAGAAGAGAAGAGCGGAAUUCCACGUGUAGCGGUGAAAUGCGCAGAUAUUAGGAGGAACACCGGUGGCGAAGGCGCCGCUCUGGGCCGAAACUGACGCUGAGGAGCGAAAGCAUGGGUAGCAAACAGG